rnacentral:rRNA from 1 species
AAACCAACUGGGAUUACCUUAGUAACGGCGAGUGAAGCGGUAAAAGCUCAAAUUUGAAAUCUGGUACUUUCAGUGCCCGAGUUGUAAUUUGUAGAAUUUGUCUUUGAUUAGGUCCUUGUCUAUGUUCCUUGGAACAGGACGUCAUAGAGGGUGAGAAUCCCGUUUGGCGAGGAUACCUUUUCUCUGUAAGACUUUUUCGAAGAGUCGAGUUGUUUGGGAAUGCAGCUCAAAGUGGGUGGUAAAUUCCAUCUAAAGCUAAAUAUUGGCGAGAGACCGAUUGCGAACAAGUACAGUGAUGGAAAGAUGAAAAGAACUUUGAAAAGAGAGUGAAAAAGUACGUGAAAUUGUUGAAAGGGAAGGGCAUUUGAUCAGACAUGGUGUUUUUGCAUGCACUCGCCUCUCGUGGGCUUGGGCCUCUCAAAAUUUCACUGGGCCAACAUCAAUUCUGGCAGCAGGAUAAAUCAUUAAGAAUGUAGCUACUUCGGUAGUGUUAUAGCUUUUUGGAAUACUGUUUAGCCGGGAUUU